AUGGCGAAGGCACCUGGUGCUUCGCUCGGCCCCGUCCCUUUUGCGGACGUCGAAGCUGACUCAGGCUUGGUCUCCGGCGUGCCGGAGCAGCUUCCAGAGGAGCACGCCGACGCCGACCUUGUGUCCGCCCUGCCGAGCGCGCCCAUGGCCAUGGGCAUAUCGAACCUCCGUUUCUACGAGGGAUGCUGGCUGCCGGAGUGGUCUGUCCCGGCGGCCGUCGCCCUACAGCGCCGCUUCGAGCCCCGCCGGGACGAUGUCAUCGUUGCCAGCUUCCCCAAGUGCGGCACCACGUGGGUCAACGCGCUGACGUUCGCCACCAUGGCGCGGCGCGCCUACCCCGCCGCCGGCGCCGGGCACCCGCUGCUACGCCUCAACCCGCACCAGUGCAUCCCUUUCCUGGAGGGCCUAUUCGGCAGCCGGCGCGGGGAGGCCAAGCUCGAGGCGCUACCUUCCCCGCGCGUCAUGAACACGCACAUGCCGCUGGCCAUGAUACCGCGAGCCGCCGCGCCCGGCGGGGGCGGGUGCAAGGUCGUGUACGUCUGCAGGGAGCCCAAGGACAUGGUGGUCUCGCGGUGGCACUUCCACCGGCAGCUGCAUCCCGAGCUGGCGUUCGCCGACGUCUUCGAGGCCGUGUGCAGCGGCGCGGUGGCGUACGGACCAGUGUGGGACCACAUGCUCGGCUACUGGAGCGCCAGCACGGCAAGGCCUGACAGCGUGCUCUUCUUGCGGUACGAGGAGCUGCUGCGCGACCCCGCCGAGCACGUCAGGGCGCUGGCGCGGUUCGUGGGGCUGCCUUUCUCCGGCGCCGAGGAGGAUGCCGGCGCCGUCCACGACAUCGUCAAGCUCUGCAGCUUCGGCCACCUCAAGAACCUGGAGGCCAACAAAACGGGCCACGUGAAUCCCAUCCUCCAGAUCCCGCGCGGCGCGCUAUUCAGGAAAGGCGCGGCCGGUGACUGGGUGAAUCACAUGACGCCGGAGAUGGCGCGACGCCUUGACGAGAUCGUCGCCGACAAGCUCCAUGCCUCAGGGCUCACCUUCCAUGAGUGA
rnacentral:rRNA from 1 species